rnacentral:rRNA from 1 species
UACGUAGGGUGCUAGCGUUGUUCGGAAUCAUUGGGCGUAAAGCGCGUGUAGGUUGUCAGUUAAGUCGGGUGUGAAAUCCCUGGGCUCAACCGAGGAAGUGCAUCCGAAACUAACUGGCUAGAAGAUGGUAGAGGAAGGUGGAAUUCCAAGUGUAGAGGUGAAAUUCGUAGAUAUUUGGAGGAAUACCGGUGGCGAAGGCGGCCUUCUGGGCCAUUCUUGACACUGAGACGCGAAAGCGUGGGUAGCAAACAGG